rnacentral:tRNA from 1 species
GGGAGUGGUUGUGCCCUGGUGGGUGCCCUGGUCUUCAAAAUCAGUGGCCGGUCGCGCCGAGCGAGCGGCGGUGGGUUCGACUCCCAUCCACUCCCGCA